rnacentral:rRNA from 1 species
UUGACCUCGGAUCAGGUAGGAAUACCCGCUGAACUUAAGCAUAUCAAUAAGCGGAGGAAAAGAAACCAACAGGGAUUGCCCCAGUAACGGCGAGUGAAGCGGCAACAGCUCAAAUUUGAAAUCUGGCCCCCGGGUCCGAGUUGUAAUUUGUAGAGGAUGCUUUUGGUGAGGUACCUUCCGAGUUCCCUGGAACGGGACGCCAUAGAGGGUGAGAGCCCCGUCUGGUCGGAUACCGAUCCUCUGUAAAGCUCCUUCGACGAGUCGAGUAGUUUGGGAAUGCUGCUCUAAAUGGGAGGUAUAUGUCUUCUAAAGCUAAAUAUAGGCCAGAGACCGAUAGCGCACAAGUAGAGUGAUCGAAAGAUGAAAAGCACUUUGAAAAGAGGGUUAAACAGUACGUGAAAUUGUUGAAAGGGAAGCGCUUGUGACCAGACUUGGGCCCGGUUAAUCAUCCAGCGUUCUCGCUGGUGCACUUGGCCGGCCCAGGCCAGCAUCAGUUCGGCGUGGGGGAUAAAGGCGGCGGGAAUGUGGCUCCUCCGGGAGUGUUAUAGCCCACCGUGUAAUACCCUGUGCUGGAC